AUGGAAAGUGAGCUGAUUUUUGUUACAUCUGUUUGUUGCAGGAUUUUAACAUUGCUUAUAGACAGGCAUGUUGAAAGAAUUUCACGUAGAAUGUGCAACCUGGCUUAUGUUACUUGGGUGGUGGCUCAAAAUCUACAGCUAUUAGCGAUGCGACUUCUCGCUGAUAACAUCGUUGGGAGCAAAGUUUUAGCUCUUGAAAGAGCAUUUGACUGGAAUUUAUUUGCUUCUUUUUUGUGGCAAAUCUGCAAAUUGGGCUGGUAAACUCAUCUGUGGAUACCAUAUUUGUGUCAUCCUCAUCGGCUUGU